rnacentral:rRNA from 1 species
GACGAACGCUGGCGGCGUGCUUAACACAUGCAAGUCGAGCGGUAAGGCCCUUUCGGGGGUACGACGAGCGGCGAACGGGUGAGUAACACGUGGGUGACCUGCCCUCAGCUCUGGGAUAAGCCCGGGAAACUAGGGUCUAAUACUGGAUAUGACUCCAUGACGCAUGUUGUGGGGUGGAAAGCCUUGUGCGGCUGAGGAUGGGCCCGCGGCCUAUCAGCUUGUUGGGGGGUGAUGGCCUACCAAGGCGACGACGGGUAGCCGGCCUGAGAGGGCGACCGGGCCACACUGGGACUGAGACACGGCCCAGACUCCUACGGGAGGCAGCAGUGGGGAAUCUUGCGCAAUGGGCGAAAGCCUGACGCAGCGACGCCGCGUGA